UACGUAGGGUGCAAGCGUUAAUCGGAAUUACUGGGCGUAAAGCGUGCGCAGGCGGUUUUGUAAGUCAGAUGUGAAAUCCCCGGGCUUAACCUGGGAACUGCGUUUGAAACUACAAGGCUAGAGUGUGGCAGAGGGGGGUGGAAUUCCACGUGUAGCAGUGAAAUGCGUAGAGAUGUGGAGGAACACCAAUGGCGAAGGCAGCCUCCUGGCCUAAUACUGACGCUCAUGCACGAAAGCGUGGGGAGCAAACAGG
rnacentral:rRNA from 1 species